rnacentral:lncRNA from 1 species
GGCCACCCCGCCAGCGAAUGCCGGAUCCUCUGCUUGGGAAGACAGUCCUCCUUUCCGAAGGACUCCAUUCAGCAAAAAGGAAUAUAAAUCUUUUAAAUACACUAUAGCAUCAGGCAGAGUCAAGAGGAGUCUCUACCCGCUUCUAAUCAGAUUGCCAGAAGUCUUCCUUUUCUGGAUGGAGACUAAGAGGUACUUACUUCUCGCCCUGGGAAGGGAAGAUCUUGGCUUUCUGCUUGGAUCACUUCCUUCAAGAAGACCUCCUCAAGUUUCUUUCAUUGGACAAAUAUCAAUUUAGCACCUACUAUGUGCCUGGUACUGUGCUAGGCUAUCUGGGUAUACCAUGGUGAACAAAAUGGAUGUUUUUCCUGAGCUUGAAAAUGAUGAUUCUUCCUAUGGAAAUGAGGUUGGGAUCUAGGGGCUUGGAUACCCCCCACAUCAGAAGCUCAAAUCCUUCAUAAAUGGCAAAAAAGGGGAAUCAAAGAUAGCUAGGUUUUGAGGAUUACCUAAAGCCCAGACAGAUGACUCACUGUUUAAAAUGUAAACUUUUAGAAUAGUUUUAGACUUACAGAAAAGUUUUGCAGAUAGUACAGAAUUGCCAUAUACCCCAACCCAGUUUCUCCUAUUGUUAACACCUGACAUUGCUGCGGUACAUUUUCCACAACACUGGUAUGUUAUUGUUAACUAAACUCUGUAGUUUAUUUGGAUUUUAUUAGUUUUUACCCACCAUCCUUUCUCUGUUCCACAGGGUCUCUCACAUUGUAUGCAGCCAUCUUAUUUCCCUAGGCUGCUCUUGGCUGUGGUAGUUUCUCAGACUUUCCUUGCUUUUGAUGGACUGUUGGUCAGGUAAUUUGUAGACUGUCCCUCAGGUGGGGUCUGUCUGCUGUUUUUCUCAUGGUUCAACUGUGGUUAUGGGUUUGGGGGUGAUGUGCUGUUUCCAUCACAUCAUAUCAAGUGUCCAUGCUAUAGACACGACUGAUCGCUGCUGAUGUUGACCUUGGCCAUCUGGCUGAGCUAGUGCUUGUCAGGUUUCUCUCCUGCAAGAUUACUCUUUCCCCCUGCUUUCCAUACUAUACUCCAUAGAAGGAAAUCAUUAUGCACAGCCCACACUUCAGGGACAGGGAUUUAUGUUUCACCGCCUUGAGGGAGGAGUAUCUCCAUAAAUUAUUUGGGAUUCUUCUGCACAGGCGAUUUGAGUGACCCAUUUUUCAGUAGUUUGAACUUCGCCCCUGUGUUGGGCAAGGCCACUAUGAGUUAGAUUUAAUAAUGAAUUCCAGGCAAAUGGGAGCAGUGGGGGGAAAUAAGAAAAUGCCCACAGGUGCUGCCUGAUGACCAGUAUAUAGUCUUACAAAAGAAGAGAUAAAAAAAUUAAUAAAAGUAACUUCCUGUGG